UUUAGUAAUAGCAGGCGCCUAACUGGGUCACUGGCCUAUCUAGGUUAAUAUCACCCAUGGGCUCAUGUGACUGUUCUAACCCCCCUCCAUGUGUACAUGCUGGAUCGCGCGCGUGUGUGUGUGCUUGUGUGUGUGCUUGUGUGUUAGUGUGUGUGUGCGCCUUUGUGUGUGCGCCUGUGUGUGUGUGUGUGUGUGUGUGUGUGUGUGUGUGUGUGUGUGUGUGUGUGUGUGUGUGUGCGACCGGCCUGAUUGUCGGUGUACUUCAUCCGAUUAAAUGCAUUAAUCGUUAAUAAGGUGAUGGGUGCUGCAUGUUAUUGUGUAUGUGAUUUAGCUUCCGGUCUCAUGAUGUGUGUAGAUAGUCAUAGUUAUCUCUGUAGUUAUUGAUAGAUUUUUCAUGCAACUUUUGCAUCUGUUCCAACUGUAUUGUCCCUUGAGUUAACGACGGUAACACGACCUGCUGGAUGAAUAGAGGUUUAUCUUAUCUUAUAUUAAAUGUAGAUGCUAUGUUUCUCCACAGAGGGCGAUGAGACUGGUAUCAUGGACGGCCUGUUGGAGGCGCUGCAGUCUGGCGCUGCAUUCAGGAGAAAGCGGGGACCACGGCAAGCAGCCAAUCACAGGCGAGCUGGACACGCAGUGACCAAUCUACUGGCCAAAGAGCUGAUGCAGGAGGACCCACAACCAGCCGGACUAGGAUUUAAGAAGAUAAAGAGGGAGGAGCCUAUGCUGGAGGGGGCGGGAUCUUUAGAAGACCUGUUGGACGAAAAUCUUUCUCGGGCCAAUUAGAACUCUCUAAAACUCCAGAGUUAACCCCCAAACAGAAAGGGUCCCGGGUCGACCGUAGCCAAACACAACGGCAACUUUGAAGCUUUGCUCAUCCCUAAAGACAGACUGAUCUGGCCCUGCUCCUCCCAGGCUGGUGGACCUCCCUCUCACGUCGUCAUGGCUCCCUGAACGCCCCUCACUGUCGGCCAUUUGUUACCGCCAUAGGCAACUAGCUGCUCUCUUCUGCAUCUGCCCCCGACAUCUUCGGCUCUCUUUUACCUUUGCUCUUUUUGUCUUUUUUAUUUUCUUUCGUUUCAGGCCCGCAUCGAAUCCAUUCAUAGUUCUGUCUCUCCCCAUAAGUCACUCAUCAGGAGAAUCCAAAGACUUAACUCAGGAGCAAGCCGCAAUUUACAAGAUCCGCCGGUAGCUUGGCUUCAAUCACGCUUUGAUUUGUUAUAUUUCUGGUGUUUAAUAACAAAUUGUGUACUUUGUGUAUUUCAAUGGUUUUAUAAACAUUCAGACGCUCUUUUCUCCCCAAACCCGUGCGCUUCUGUACUACGAGAUGAAUGUGCGUCAGUUUAUACUUUACCUUAAUGUGUAUCAUUAUUACUGUUUAAAGAACCACUAUGUGCCAAUCAAUACAAUCUUUCUGUCCAAUCACGCUUGGUGUUGGACAGGUGUGUGGACCAAUCAAACCUUUUCUCGUUGUUGAAAUCCCACUGGUGUAAGUUGAUGUUGUGGUGAAGGGAUUCACUCGUUUUUUGGAGACGUUAAAUGCACGGGUGUUAAUCUUUAUUCGUAGACGUAAGCAUACAUUAAAAGCACUGUAUCCACACAUGUUGAAAAUGGUACACUUAGGUCCUAAUGCAGAUAUGUAAACCCAAACUUACAGAGAGGACGUCCUUUAACCCCAUAUCAAAAAAUGCGCCCAAGCAAGAGUAAUAGACCCACGUCCUUACUCGUGAGCCAAUCAGAGCACAGGCGAUUGUUACCGAUCUCAACAAAUGUAUGUUGGUGACAGUGGGUUGGUUUGCAUGUAGUCAGUUGGGUCUAUUUAGUGCUGCGAGGUAGCACUGUAAUCUACACAUGUGUGCGUUUGUGCGCACAUUGUCUAUUCUCAACCAUGCAUUUGUGUAUGUAACUGUCCUUUCGGCCACCUGCAAUAACUGCACAUUUUAGACUAUUGUCAUUAAUUAGUUUUCAUAAACAGCACAACACUUGAAAACAGCCCAAAAUACUGCGUGCGUGCGUGUGCCUGUGUGUGUGUGUGCAUGCGCUUGUGUGUGUGUGUCAUUUGUUUGCUGAGCGUCUGGUGUCAAUGUUUCCUAUUCGUGGACCAUCAGAAUAAAUGUUGCCGUGAUGUCUCAGUGUAGAUGUUAGCCUUCAAACAGGAAUUUUGAGAGAUACUCUGGACCGCGGUUCAUUUGAUACGCAGCAAUAUUUAUUCCUAUGCAAACCGACUGUACACGACCACAGCAUCAGGAUGUAGGGGCAGGGAAGAGCGUAUCAGUAGAAGAUGUGUUUCACACAGCAGCACAAAAUGGAAGCCAAUAUUUGUUAUAGUUCAGACGAUGUGUGUGGAGAUUUCACUGUUAUUGAAGAAACUAAGUCGGGGAAUAGCAUUAUAUGCACAGGGAACAAUUCGCACUUAGCAGACUAAUAUAGCAUUCCAUGGAGCAGCAUGAUGGCAACAAGGGGAAUAGAAAAUCAAUAAAGGCAACACUUGUUGCGCUAAAAUUAAAAGCAAAUGGUUAUUGUUUAUGUGACUGCAAUCACCAAAGCUAUGCUAACAGGUCACCAACAGGUGAUGGAUUAUCUCCCAACAGCUCUCAUGUCAAUAUGCAAACGCUCAGCCUGUCUUUUAAUUUGUUCCACAUGUUUCAUCUCCAGAUGGAAACUUCCACGGGAGCAUUUCUGAUGUGGAGCGGUGGAUUCAAAUAUCUUAAGAUAUCAUUCCUUUUGUCGAUUUAUAUUGAUUGUUAUUUGUUUUCAUUUUUUUAAAGAGAUUUUUAUGUAAUUUUUUUUUACAGUUAAUUUUAAUGUAUGUGAUUUUUUUGGACCAAAUAAUGUACAAGAGUGGUUUGCUUUGUUUCAGAACAAUUCCAUUUAGCUUGCUUCUGAAACGCCACAAAGUCUUGUAGUUAGUGGAAGGCUCUUGCAUAAUGUACACAUCUGUUACAGAAUGUGUUUGACUUUUUGUUGUAAUAAAAUGUCACUCGUAACAAA